UAGGGAGGUUCUGUAUUUAUUGGUAAUAAACUCUCAGUUUGUGUUUGUCUAGAGGAAAGGUCUUUAGUUUCUCAUUUGUAAAAUAUGUUUUUCUGAGUAAUUGAAUCUAAACAGUUAUUUUGCUUCAGCAGUUCGAAGAUAUUCUAUUUAUUUUGGCCUUCAUCAUUGUUGUUAGGAAUUCUGUCAGUACAGGUGUUAUUCCCUGUCAGUGGCUAACCACUUGAAAUGCAUACUCCGGGGAGGACUUCAACUUUGAGCGUACUGAUCUCCAUCAAUAUCAUGGUAUCUGCUUCAACAAAUACGUUACCUGUGGAAAGAAAGCAGAAAAGCAUCACACCUCCUGUGGAAGCUUCAACAAAUAUGUUACUUGUGGAAAGAAAGCAGAAAAGCAUCACACCUCCUAUGGAAGCCAACACUUCUCUGUCUGUAUUUGUGGAUACAAGGGCUGUGCUUCAUUGCCCUAAUGCCACCUCGAAUGUUCUGGUAGUAACAUGGUCAGUAAUCUUCAGAGACAACACUUCCUGCAUCAGAGCCUACAGGACAGAUAGCAACAAGACCAGGGAAAAAACUUGUACAGACGAGAGAAUAUCCUGGGACUCCAGACCUGAUCAGAACUUUGCCCUUCGGAUUAAUCCCGUGGCCAUCACUCAUGAAGGAUAUUACAAGUGUGAAGUGGUCACACCUGAUGGGAAUUUCUGUCAUGGGCAUCACCUCCAAGUGUUAGUGCCCCCUAAGGUGACCCUGUCUCUAGGCGAGAAUGGAACUACCGUGUGCUGGGCAGUUGCAGGGAAGCCAGCUGCACAGAUCUCCUGGACCCCAAUGGGAGAUUGUCACACUGUGGAAGAACGACUGGGCAAUGACACAGUGACCGUGCAGAGUACAUGCCACUGGGAGGACCGCCAGGUGUCUGAGGUGUCCUGCUUUGUCUCCCAUGUGACUGGCAACAAGAGUCUGUCCAUAGAGUUGAAUCAAGGUGCCAUAACUCUGGAAUUUCCAGCAUCAGCCUUACUGGUCAUUCUCUAUGUGAAAUUCUCUUUAUUCUUGGUUAUUAUCCUGGUCAUCGUGGGAUUCACCUAUUUCCAGAGAAUAAAUCAUUGCAGAGCAUGAAAACUGAAAAAUCUGGAAGUCAAUUUAGAUUUGAUGGAACACCAUGAAAAAGCAGCUGGUUAAGAUCAACCUUUGGGUUCAACAUCUAACUCAACUGCUCCAAUUCUAUUUAGUACCUUUGUGUUUAUGUGAAUCAAUGUGAUAGUUGGCAAAUCCUGUUUCAAACUCUUAGCAUACGUAUAUUUAUGCACAUGCCAAAGCUUGCUGCCUGCCUUUGUAAAUGUCUGGGAUGACUCAUCUACUUUCCUCUUUGUCUUACUGAAUUCUUAUUUGCAAACAGGAGAUAGCCCUGCUUCUCAGCCUAAAGAGGAAGAUGGUUCAGCAAAUGGCAAAUUACAAAGCUCCGCAGGUUUUCUACACCCCUUGAGUUCUUUGGAACCUCCCAUCCUUUUCUUACUAGCAAUUAGUCUGGUUGUCGUACUGCAUGUUUGGCCCAAUCAUUGAAUAAAUGAUGAGGAGUCAUUUUCAAUAGUACCUUUAUUUUUGAAGAAAUUAUAAGUUAACCCCAAAUAAGGACUCUUAGAGUUAUGGGAGACAGUGCUGAAUGUCACCUCAUCUUUUAGAGCUCAGCCGUCUCAAGUAGUCCACACUGGAAUGGAUUAAUGGUAAGAUUUCUUGGUGAAACCCCAAUAUUUUCUAGGGCCACAGUAAACUGGAACCCUAUCUUGAUUGAUUGAUAUGGUUACCCUAUAGUAAAAAGUGUCCUUUUAUUUAAAGGAAAAAUUUCUUGUAUAAGUUGGCACGUGAUUCAAGCUAUUGUUUUUUUAGCAAGGCUCCAAGGGAGAAAAUGAAUGCAUACUACUAUCUGGAAGAUAAUAUAUAAGUAGGAUAGUCUAAUUGUUAAAACAAACAACCUCCCAAUCUCAGUGUAUUCAUAAUCACAAAAAUUUAAUUCUUCCUCACUCCAUAUCCCAGGGAAGGAUUUUGAUCUAGAGCAGGGAACAGGAGUGGUUCUGCUGUAAGUGAGCACUUUAUCCUAUAUCUCUGCCCUUCUCAGAGUAUUCUCCUUUCAGCUGGUGAGUGUGAAAGAGAAAGGGAGAAUGGGGGAUUUUUAUGUAGGAGGUUUUUAUGAGCCAGGCCUGGAGUAGUAAUAAUAUCUGCUCAUGUUCUAUUGGCUAGUAUUUGUCACACAGCCACACUAAAUUCUAUGGAAUUUGGAGAAUGUAGUGUAACUGCCUCAGCAGAAAUAGAGUCAGGGUUUGGGUACAGAUAGCUAGUCCAUGCCUACAGUAAAGGAUAGGACAAAUGCUAAGAUUAAUACUUAAUUCAUCAGUAACUCAACAUGAACCAAGAAAUAAACUAGUAAAUAAUUUCAUAUAUAACUUA